GACGAACGCUUGCGGCGUGCUUAACACAUGCAAGUCGAACGGAAAGGCCCUGCUUUUGUGGGGUGCUCGAGUGGCGAACGGGUGAGUAACACGUGAGUAACCUGCCCUUGACUUUGGGAUAACUUCAGGAAACUGGGGCUAAUACCGGAUAGGAGCUCCUGCUGCAUGGUGGGGGUUGGAAAGUUUCGGCGGUUGGGGAUGGACUCGCGGCUUAUCAGCUUGUUGGUGGGGUAGUGGCUUACCAAGGCUUUGACGGGUAGCCGGCCUGAGAGGGUGACCGGCCACAUUGGGACUGAGAUACGGCCCAGACUCCUACGGGAGGCAGCAGUGGGGAAUAUUGCACAAUGGGCGGAAGCCUGAUGCAGCAACGCCGCGUGCGGGAUGACGGCCUUCGGGUUGUAAACCGCUUUCGCCUGUGACGAGGCGUGAGUGACGGUAAUGGGUAAAGAAGCACCGGCUAACUACGUGCCAGCAGCCGCGGUGAUACGUAGGGUGCGAGCGUUGUCCGGAUUUAUUGGGCGUAAAGGGCUCGUAGGUGGUUGAUCGCGUCGGAAGUGUAAUCUUGGGGCUUAACCCUGAGCGUGCUUUCGAUACGGGUUGACUUGAGGAAGGUAGGGGAGAAUGGAAUUCCUGGUGGAGCGGUGGAAUGCGCAGAUAUCAGGAGGAACACCAGUGGCGAAGGCGGUUCUCUGGGCCUUUCAUGACGCUGAGGAGCGAAAGCGUGGGGAGCGAACAGGCUUAGAUACCCUGGUAGUCCACGCUGUAAACGGUGGGUACUAGGUGUGGGGUCCAUUCCACGGGUUCCGUGCCGUAGCUAACGCUUUAAGUACCCCGCCUGGGGAGUACGGCCGCAAGGCUAAAACUCAAAGGAAUUGACGGGGCCCCGCACAAGCGGCGGAGCAUGCGGAUUAAUUCGAUGCAACGCGUAGAACCUUACCUGGGUUUGACAUGGAUCGGGAGUGCUCAGAGAUGGGUGUGCCUCUUUUGGGGUCGGUUCACAGGUGGUGCAUGGCUGUCGUCAGCUCGUGUCGUGAGAUGUUGGGUUAAGUCCCGCAACGAGCGCAACCCUUGUUCACUGUUGCCAGCACGUUAUGGUGGGGACUCAGUGGAGACCGCCGGGGUCAACUCGGAGGAAGGUGGGGAUGACGUCAAGUCAUCAUGCCCCCUAUGUCCAGGGCUUCACGCAUGCUACAAUGGCUGGUACAGAGAGUGGCGAGCCUGUGAGGGUGAGCGAAUCUCGGAAAGCCGGUCUCAGUUCGGAUUGGGGUCUGCAACUCGACCUCAUGAAGUCGGAGUCGCUAGUAAUCGCAGAUCAGCAACGCUGCGGUGAAUACGUUCCCGGG
rnacentral:rRNA from 1 species